rnacentral:rRNA from 1 species
CGCGUAGGUGGUUGCGUCAGUCGGAUGUGAAAUCCCCAGGCUUAACCUGGGAACUGCAUCUGAUACUGCGUGACUCGAGUGCAGCAGAGGGAAACGGAAUUCCUGGUGUAGAGGUGAAAUUCGUAGAUAUCAGGAGGAACACCGGUGGCGAAGGCGGUUUCCCGGGCUGACACUGACACUGAGGCGCGAAAGCGUGGGUAGCAAACAGGAUUAGAUACCCUGGUAGUCCACGCUGUAAACGGUGAGUACUGGGUGUGGGAGGUGUAAUGCCUUCUGUGCCGAAGCUAACGCGUUAAGUACUCCGCCUGGGGAGUACGGCCGCAAGGUUGAA